CUUGGAAUUGCUAACUAUGAUGAAUAUGUUAGCUUAAUGGAAAAAAUAGCAUGUCGUACUAAUGGACUAGGAUGAUCAUCAAGAUCUGAACCAACAAAACUUAAAUAAUAAUCUGACAAAACUUCAAGAAAGAUUCAUAAAAUUUGGAUUAAUAUAAAGAUUCAUGUAGUGAGAAAGAAAGAGUUCAUUAAGCAUAUCCUUUUCAAAAAUAAACACAGAAUUCUUCAAUAAUAAACAGGUGGAUAUCCUCAAACCAGCUAGAACAACAAGAACACAGUAACAAAUUUGAGCAUAAACCAGAAAUUGAAAAAAACACAAAUCUUGUAUAUAAUUUAGCAGAUCAGGCAAACAAUCGGACCGAGAUGCUUGAUUCCCCAAAAUAUGAGAUAAAAGAGAGCUGUUUAAUUAGCUCUCUUCACACUCAUAAAAGAUAGUAGGUUUUCUUACGAGAAAAGCCAACCCCUUGAAACAUACUACAAUUCUAGAUGGCGAUGAAGAGUUGACAUCGAAGUGCCAAACCUUCCCGUAUAUAUAUGUUCUUCUUCUUAAGUGAUCCUUCUGACUCUUGAUCUGGUUCAGCUCUUCUUGAUUGGCAUAUGCUGUAGAGAUCAUGGACUUUGAAGGAUGACAAGAAAAGGGUGGUGGUGGAGGUGGGUGUAAUGAUGAUGGUGAGACUCACUGGAAUUAUGAGCAAAGAUGAAGACAUGAUGAUUGCUGUUUGGUGCAUAGAUAAAAUUUCUAGGUCUUGUAAGCCAUAUGUCUCUCUCUUUCUUCUCUCUCCCAAAUAUAUAACACAUACAAAAG
rnacentral:lncRNA from 1 species